rnacentral:rRNA from 1 species
AUCUACGGCCAUGCCACCCUGAACAAGCCUGAUCUUGUCUGAUCUUGAAAGCUAAGCAGGGUCGGGCCUGGUUAGUACUUGAAUGGGAGACCACCUAGGAAGACCAGGUGCUGUAGGCA